rnacentral:rRNA from 1 species
CUGGUGGCGAGUGGCGAACGGGUGAGUAAUACAUCGGAACGUAUCCUGUAGCGGGGGAUAACCUCUCGAAAGAGAGGCUAAUACCGCAUACGUCCUACGGGAGAAAGAGGGGGAUCGCAAGACCUCUCACUAUAGGAGCGGCCGAUGUCGGAUUAGCUAGUUGGUGGGGUAAAAGCUCACCAAGGCGACGAUCCGUAGCUGGUCUGAGAGGACGACCAGCCACACUGGAACUGAGACACGGUCCAGACACCUACGGGUGGCAGCAGUCGAGAAUUUUUCUCAAUGGGGGCAACCCUGAAGGAGCGACGCCGCGUGGAGGAUGAAGGCUUUCGGGUUGUAAACUCCUGUCAUUUGGGAACAAGGUGCACAUGUUAACUGCGUGUGCAUGAUAGU